ensembl:lncRNA
GUUUCUUUGGCUGUUCCGGAUGUUCCUUUCUCCCUGCCUUACUUCCCCUUGGUGGCCUUGUCUUCUGUGGCCUUCUCUGGAGGCCUGCUAUCUUUUUGGUCUGUGCUGGAGGAUUUUUCAGCCUUUUCCGCCUUAGGCUUGGUAGGCUCCUUUGAGAGGGUCUUGUCAUCCUCCUUGGCUUUGGCCUCUGUCUUGGGUUUCUCCUCAGGCUUCUUGGCCUUCUCCUCCUUGGUGUCUUUUUUCUCCGGUGCUGCUGCCGCCUCCUCCUUCUCUGCUGGUUUGCUGGGUUCCUUGGUCUUGGCAUCAUCUGGUUCCUUCUUGGCUACCUCUGUCUUCUCUUUGGGUUUAGCGUCUUCCUUCACCUCCACCUUAGCAGGAGCCUCCUUCUCUGGGGUGGCGGCUUUUUUCUUAUCUUCAGCCUCUUCCUUCUUGGCUUCAACUUUGGAUUCUUUGGGCUUUUCGACAGCAGGUUCCUUCUUCUCCUCCACCUUGGGCUUUGGAGCCUCUUUCUUGGGUGCCUCCUCUUUCUUGCUGUCCUUCUUCUCCUCCGUUUUUGGCGUGGCAGGGGCUUUCUCUUCCUCCGCCUUCUUUGGGGGCUCUUUGACUUUCACCUCUUGGGGCUUCUCCUCCUUCACUGGGGACUUCACCUCUUCCUUCUUUGGGAUCUCUUUCUCAGGGGCCUUGGCAUCCUCCUUCAGGGGAGACUUCGCCUUCUCUGGGGACUUGACCUCCUCCUUGACAGGGCUUUUGGCCUUUUCAGGGGAUUUGUCUGCAGGGGACCUUGCUUCCUCCUUCGCUGGCGUCUUGGCUUCUGGAGAUUUCACAUCAAGAGUCUUGGCCUUCUCAGGGGACUUGGCCUUCUCGGGGGACUUGGCUUCCUCCUUCACUGGGGACUUGGCCUUCUCGGGGACUUGUUGCCUAGCUGGGGGACUUGGCCUUCUCGGGGGACUUCGCUUCCUCCUUCACUGGGGACUUGGCCUUCUCGGGGGACUUGGCUUCCUCCUUCACUGGGGACUUGGCCUUUUCGGGGGACUUCGCUUCUUCCUUCACUGGGGACUUGGCUUCGCGGGGGCCUUCGCUUCCUCCUUCACUGGGGACUUGGCCUUCUCGGGGGACUUCGCUUCUUCCUUCUCUGGGGACUUGGCCUUCUCUGGGGACUUUGCUUCCUUCUCUGGGGACUUGGCCUUCUCGGGGGACUUUGCUUCCUCCUUCGUUGGGGACUUGGCCUUCUCGGGGGACUUUGCUUCCUCCUUUGUUGGGGACUUGGCCUUUUCAGGGGACUUGGCCUCAGCCGGUGACUUUGCUUCUUCCUUCACUGGGGACUUGGCCUUCUCUGGAGACUUGGCCUCAGCUGGUGACUUUGCCUCUUCCUUUGCUGGAGACUUGGCCUUCUCAGGGGACUUGACCUCGGCUGGAGAUUUUGCUUCCUCCUUCUCUGGAGACUUCGCCUCAGCCGGUGACUUUGCCUCUUCCUUUGCUGGAGACUUGGCCUUCUCGGGGGACUUGACCUCCGCUGGGGAUUUUGCUUCCUCCUUCUCUGGAGACUUGGCCUCAGCUGGUGACUUUGCCUCUUCCUUUACUGGUGACUUGGCUUCCUUCUCUGGGGAUGCAGCCUCUUCUGCUGGGGGAGACUUUGCUGCUUCUUCUCCCCCUUCUGCCUCCCCCUCUUCACCCACUUCUUCCUCCUUGCCCUCCUCCUCUUUGGCCUCUUUCUCCUCUUCUUCAGUCACUUCUUCAGUUACUUGGGUCUCCUCUGUCUGUUCCUCCACAAUCACAGUUUCUUUCUCAGACUUCUCCACCACUUUGACCUUCUCUUCGCUUUUGACCUUUAUGUGA